rnacentral:rRNA from 1 species
GACGAACGCUGGCGGCGUGCUUAACACAUGCAAGUCGAACGAAGAGCGAUGGAAGCUUGCUUCUAUCAAUCUUAGUGGCGCACGGGUGAGUAACGCGUAAUCAACCUGCCCUUCAGAGGGGGACAACAGUUGGAAACGACUGCUAAUACCGCAUACGAUCUAAUCUCGGCAUCGAGGAUAGAUGAAAGGUGGCCUCUACAUGUAAGCUAUCACUGAAGGAGGGGAUUGCGUCUGAUUAGCUAGUUGGAGGGGUAACGGCCCACCAAGGCGAUGAUCAGUAGCCGGUCUGAGAGGAUGAACGGCCACAUUGGGACUGAGACACGGCCCAGACUCCUACGGGAGGCAGCAGUGGGGAAUCUUCCGCAAUGGACGAAAGUCUGACGGAGCAACGCCGCGUGAGUGAUGACGGCCUUCGGGUUGUAAAGCUCUGUUAAUCGGGACGAAAGGCCUUCUUGCGAACAGUUAGAAGGAUUGACGGUACCGGAAGAGAAAGCCACGGCUAACUACGUG